AUAGGAAAGUGCUACAAGCAGCAAGCCAGGACUGGUUGUACUGUAUGGUAGAAAUGUGCUAGUGAAAAAAAAUGAAGGGCAGAGAGAUUAGCUUUCUUUCUUUUGUAUUUCUUAGUCAUGGGAAUCUGUGUCAAGGAAGGAGAUUUCAAAAGCUUUUGAACAAGAAGAGAGAGGAUGAAUGACAUGACUGCGCAGCAGAAAUGGUUCUUCAAACCGAAGACAAAUUUCAAGGGGAAGAUUAUGCAGCUGCAGACUUCUUUUUUCUUUUUUCCCCACAGCCCAUGGGGGUAAUGAAAGGGGAAAUCACAUGAGGUUUUAUCACCUGCGCUCCUUCCACUGAAAGGCUCAUUCUCUUCAUAGUGGGACUUUCUUCUAGGGUGGCUCUGUUUAGUGCCUUUGCUGUCUUCCAGGGACUUCCCUGAAAAAAUUGGAGUAGGUUGUGGAGUGUCAGGGAAAGGGGAAUACCAACAUGACUUUCAAAAUUCAAACAAGAAUAUUUGUGGUUGUGCAUCCACCUAUAUGAAAGCCCUGUGCAAUGUGAGCUGUACUCUAAAUUGAAACUGGUAGUUAUAAAUAAUAUUAUUAACAUUCCCCAAAUACUAACGCACUCAAGUCAAGAUUAGUAUAUAUAUAGUUGUAGGUGUGUCCAUGUUAUUCAUUUCGAAAUUCUUCCUGAAGAUUGUUAAGGACAAAAAGAGAUGAAAACCUCCUAAACCAGUGACUCUGAUUAUAGACUGUAUAAAAUAUCGGAAUGAUUUUUAUUAAUUAAUUUAGGAUUUUUUGGAAUA
rnacentral:lncRNA from 1 species